AUCUGGGCGGCGAUAGCUCAACAAGACAGAGCAGCCCUCCUGCCGGCCAUAGCUUCUUUUGCUGUUGAUGAGCAAGAAGAGAAUUAAAAACUGCAACAAUAUGAUGGGGUUGCACUCCCAUGAUUCAUCACAAACCUCUGAUGAUCCAUCUUAUAUUUUAUAACGAAUACCGUGUAAUUUAUUAUACGUUUUUUUUUUUUUUUUUUCGAUCGUUCAGUAUCUAGUGAUUUUCGCGAGUUGGGAUAUGAUGCAAAUUAUGGUCCGUGUUUCUGAAUGUAUUGUGACUGAAUCUGUUAUACCAAUUCUGAUCCCAAAGUAAGCAAAUUAAGAGAGUUUUCUGUGAUGCCCUUUUUAUA